AGGGGAUUAAGUUAAAUAAAACUAUUAAACUUCAAAUUUAAAUUUAAUCCUAGAUUAUUCCCUA
rnacentral:tRNA from 1 species